GAUGAACGCUGGCGGCGUGCCUAAUACAUGCAAGUCGAGCGAACAGAUGAGGAGCUUGCUCCUCUGACGUUAGCGGCGGACGGGUGAGUAACACGUGGAUAACCUACCUAUAAGACUGGGAUAACUUCGGGAAACCGGAGCUAAUACCGGAUAAUAUAUUGAACCGCAUGGUUCAAUAGUGAAAGACGGUUUUGCUGUCACUUAUAGAUGGAUCCGCGCCGCAUUAGCUAGUUGGUAAGGCAACGGCUUACCAAGGCAACGAUGCGUAGCCGACCUGAGAGGGUGAUCGGCCACACUGGAACUGAGACACGGUCCAGACUCCUACGGGAGGCAGCAGUAGGGAAUCGUCCGCAAUGGGCGAAAGCCUGACGGAGCAACGCCGCGUGAGUGAUGAAGGUCUUCGGAUCGUAAAACUCUGUUAUUAGGGAAGAACAAAUGUGUAAGUAACUAUGCACGUCUUGACGGUACCUAAUCAGAAAGCCACGGCUAACUACGUG
rnacentral:rRNA from 1 species